rnacentral:lncRNA from 1 species
AGGUGAUUUCUUCUCCUGCUCUGUCUUGAUUUUCUCUCUAAUUGAAAGCAUAAAGUAUUUCAAUCAAAUUCUGUACCAGGAAUACGUAAAAGUUACUAAUAUUUUAUUUCCAUCUGUUCGCAUUGAUAACUCGGCGGCAUAUGUGUUGUGCGCGGAAUGCGGAAUCAAGCGCGCCAAAUAAUUAUAGAAAAAUAAAGGACACAAGAAUUACGUGGUUCGGUAAUUAAACCUACAUCCACGGAGGCAAGAAAGAAUAAUUGUUUAUUUAACAACUAAUAGAGUACAAUAUUUGAGUAACGAAUCUCACUUCCCAGAAACCCAAAUAUACCAAGUACUCUCACACUCUGCAGGAAAUAUAAAUUCCCCAGACACACUUCUCUCACUUCUCUCAAAAGCUUAGAAACUUAUAAGCUUAACAAUUUUGGGAUUAUUUCAAAUGAACAAUUUCCCUUCUAUAUAUAGGAACCGUAGCUCACCUACCACUUCCAAUUUGGCUACAACUUGCCGAAUUGAUAAAUUGAAUUUAGAAUGGAAAAUCAAUUUGGUGAGCAACAAAAUCAACAAGUUUGAAAAAUCAAUUGGCUUCUAGAAAAACAUCACAUUUUUCCUCCAUACAAUUUCAACAAAAUCGUCCCACCAACCAUGUCUUUUGAAAUUUGCAUGCCAUUCUUUGACUUGUUGUGCGCGGAAUGCGGAAUCAAGCUCACCAAAAAUUACUGCAAAAAUAAAGGACACAAGAAUUUACGUGGUUCGGUAAUUAAACCUACAUCCACGGAGGCAAGAAAGAAUAAUUGUUUAUUUAACAAUUAAUAGAAUACAAUAUUUGAGUAACGAAUCUCACUUCCCAGAAACCCAAAUAUACCCAGUACUCUCACACUCUGCAGGAAAGAUAAAUUCCCCAGACACACUUCUCUCACUUCUCUCAAAAGCUUAGAAACUUAUAAGCUUAACAAUUUUGCGAUUAUUUCAAAUGAACAAUUUCCCUUCUAUAUAUAGGAACCGUAGCUCACCUACCACUUCCAAUUUGGCUACAACUUGCCGAAUUGAUAAAUUGAAUUUAGAAUGGAAAAUCAAUUUGGUGAGCAACAAAAUCAACAAGUUUGAAAAAUCAAUUGGCUUCUAGAAAAACAUCACAUUUUUCCUCCAUACAAUUUCAACAAAAUCGUCCCACCAACCAUGUCUUUUGAAAUUUGCAUGCCAUUCUUUGACUUUUCAACAAUUCUCCACCUCGGCGAAAAUUUUCCAAAUCUGAGCCGACUACCAACUAACCAUCCCCAAAGUGAUCCUUCAAUAAGGAUCCAGAAUGGCUGUGUCGAUUCGACUGCCUACGUACCCAAACUGUCUUGAUUUUCUCUCUAAUUGAAAGCAUAAAGUAUUUCAAUCAAAUUCUGUACCAGGAAUACGUAAAAGUUACUAAUAUUUUAUUUCCAUCUGUUCGCAUUGAUAACUCGGCGGCAUAUGUGUUGUGCGCGGAAUGCGGAAUCAAGCGCGCCAAAUAAUUAUAGAAAAAUAAAGGACACAAGAAUUACGUGGUUCGGGAAGCAGUUGGCAGCAAAUUCAUAUGGAGUGUAGACAAUGAUGAGCAAAAAGGUGAUUCUCAAUUUCUUUUUUUUUUAAAGUGAAAUUAUUUGUUAGAUUGAAGCUGAUAUUGUAAGAAGGCCAUUGAGCUAACCUAUGUCGCCACUUGCCUAGAUUGCAGGGGGUCAAGACUCAAAAGAAGCACUGAAAUUUAAAAAGCAUGCAAUAGUUCUUUUGCCAUGUAUCAAUUAAUGCAAGUUUGAAUAAAAUUAACAUAUAUCAAGACACAACUAGAAACAUCAUACUUUCGUGUAAGUUCAUUUCAGAAUAUUUCUUAGAGUUUGUAUAAAAUGAAAAGAUUUUAAAAUAUAAAUUUAAUAUUUGUUUAUUACCGUUGUUUGGUCUAAUUUCCUC